CAGCAGUAGCCGCGGUAAUACGUAGGGCGCAAGCGUUGUCCGGAAUUAUUGGGCGUAAAGAGCUCGUAGGCGGUCUGUCGCGUCUGGUGUGAAAUCCCGAGGCUCAACCUCGGGCUUGCAUCGGGUACGGGCAGACUAGAGUGCGGUAGGGGAGACUGGAAUUCCUGGUGUAGCGGUGGAAUGCGCAGAUAUCAGGAGGAACACCGAUGGCGAAGGCAGGUCUCUGGGCCGCAACUGACGCUGAGGAGCGAAAGCAUGGGGAGCGAACAGGAUUAGAUACCCCCGUAGUCCCUGUCUCUUAUAA
rnacentral:rRNA from 1 species